AUUCUUUCUUAAAUUUAUUUACAUAUCAUAAUUGUUUUAUUGUUUUCCAUGUGCAGAUGCAACAAUAUUCAUGUUGAAUACAACUAUUAAAGAUUUAUUGAGCACCAAUGUUCAUAGUGUGUUCAUAGUAUUGUACUGUUUUAUGUUUAUUUUAAUAAAAAUGUUUAUUUGGUAUUGUAAUAAAAUAUUUAUUUAUGCUUAUGAUUGUGGAACUCUAAACUAGGUUGGUAGAUAAUUCUAAAUAGAAAAUCCUUUAAUUUUUUCUUAUGAUUGUGGAACUCUAAAUAAGGCAAAAUCCUUUAAUUUUUGGACUUCAGCAUUGCUGGAAGAACGAUAUGCAUUUAGGAUGUGUACUUUAAGAUCUCAUAAUCUAUUCUCAGAUCUCAUCUCGAUUAACCUUUUGUUGUUUUAUUUCCCUCUCUAUCUCAUCUCACAGUCGUAAAUGGAGAGGUUGAGAAUAAUAGAUAUGAAAGAAAACUCGAAGUCACUAAUAAAAAGUAUUCUGUAAAAGGUUAUGAUUUUUGUUAGGAUUUUUUUUUUUAAUUUAUGUUCGACAUUUCUAUUUCUUUCUUAACCUGUGAUUUGACUAACAUGUGUUUUCAUCUUGUGAAACCAUGGAUUGUACCAUACUUUCUUUGUUGGAAGCUCGAAGUUAGAAGAUCUCAGAUAAAAAGAACAAGAUGCAACAAUUUUCAUGUUGAAUACAACUAUGAAAGAAUUAUUGAGCACCAAUGUUCAUAGUAUGUUCAUAGUAUUGUAUUGUUUUAUGUUUAUUUUAAUAAAAAUGUUUAUUUGGUAUUGUAAUAAACUAUAUUUAUUUAUGCUUAUGAUUGUGGAACUCUAAACUAGGUUGGUAGAUAAUUCUAAAUAGAAAAUCCUUUAAUUUUUGCUUA